rnacentral:rRNA from 1 species
ACUCCUACGGGAGGCAGCAGUGGGGAAUUUUGCGCAAUGGGGGAAACCCUGACGCAGCAACUCCUAAGUGGAGGAUGAAGUCCCUCGGGAUGUAAACUCCGUCGACCCGGACGAUAA